CGGACGGGUGAGUAAUGUCUGGGAAACUGCCCGAUGGAGGGGGAUAACUACUGGAAACGGUAGCUAAUACCGCAUAACGUCGCAAGACCAAAGAGGGGGACCUUCGGGCCUCGCGCCAUCAGAUGAACCCAUAUGGGAUUAGCUAGUAGGUGAGGUAACGGCUUACCUAGGCGACGAUCCCUAGCUGGUCUGAGAGGAUGAUCAGCCACACUGGGACUGAGACACGGCCCAG
rnacentral:rRNA from 1 species